AUGGACAGGUUUCAGCGGAGCUUGCAGAGUGUCCUGUGUGAUGUUCAGCUGGUGAAAUCAGGGGGAGAUGUGAGACAACCCGGAGGGUCUCUGAGCCUCUCCUGCAAAGCCUCUGGAUUCACCUUCACUGACUAUGGGAUGAACUGGGUCCGCCAGGCUCCAGGGAAGGGGCUGGAGUGGGUGGCAUUAGUGAGUCAACCCAGUGGACAGAAUCAGUAUUACUCUCCCUCAGUUCAAGGAAGAUUCACAAUUGCCAGGGACAACCCUACAAGCACAGUCUCCCUGAAAAUGACAAACCUGAAAGCUGAGGACACUGCCGUGUAUUACUGUGUGAGAGACACAGUGAGGGGAAGUGUCCAGUGUGAGGUGCAGCUGGUGGAGUCCAGAGACAACGCCAAGAACACGCUGUAUCUGCAGAUGAACAGUCUGAAAGCUGAGGACACAGCCAUGUAUUACUGUGUGAGAGACACAGUGAGGGGAAGUCAAUGGGUUCUGUCCCAGGUCACCCUGGAGGAGUCCAGUCCUGGGCUGCUGAAACCCACCCAGACCCUGUAG